UGCUGCACAAGUCUCUGGAGUCGUUUUGUAGCUGAAGUUGACAGUUGCUAAUUCUUUGAACUCCUCUGUAUCUGCUAAUCAUCCACAAUCUCUCUCUCGCUCUCUCUAAAUUGUGUGAAUUAACAAACCAAAUUGAAGUCCUCCAUUUGCACAAUAUGGCAGCUUACGCUGCUCUCGUUUCACUUGCACGCACAACAGAACUGCUGCUGAAUUCUGAUAAAUAUUCCAUUCCUGUUGAUGAAAAAGCACAAAUUACAUCUAUCCGCGAGUACGCGAUGUUCCUCAUAUCAUCCCUUGAAGAUUUUCCAGAGAGAUCCAGCCGUCUGGAAGGGAAAAUCAAGGAUAUAGCUAAUCAAACCGAAGUUCUCAUCGAAUAUUUUAUGUGGAAGCAAAUUCGGUUGAACUGGUGUAGUGUUCAGAAUCUAUCAAGAUCUGAGUUUGACGAGCUGCUGACAAAAUCACGAGAAGAGAUUGGUUUAAUUGUUAGCCAGACCAUGGAUGGACAAUUCGUGGGUGAUUCAUCUGCUACGAUUUCACCAGCAAGACUCGCACCGACGAACAACAAUGAUGUGGUAAUUGGUUUAGGUGCUGACCUAAUUACAAUUAAGGAUCGACUUUGUGGAGCGUCAUCAAAGCUUCAAGUCAUACCCAUUACAGGAAUGGGCGGGAUAGGUAAAACCACUCUAGCUCGAAAUGCUUAUGAUGAUUCAUCAAUAGUUGGGUACUUUCAUAUUCGUGCUUGGGUCACAGUGUCACAACAUUAUAGUGCACAUAGAAUUCUUUCAACUCUCUUAGAUUCGAUGACUUUGUUUCUGAAAGAGCAAGUGUUAGGAGAAGAGAUUGAUGAAACUGUAAUGGCAGAAAAAGUGUACAAAUGCUUAAAGGGAAGGAGGUAUCUCGUUGUGAUGGAUGAUGUUUGGAGCACAGAGGUUUUGGAUGAUGUAAGGAAACUAUUCCCAGAUGAUGGUAAUGGAAGUCGAAUCAUGUUAACCACAAGACUAUCAAAUGUAGGUCUUUAUGCUGACUCUUCUGGCCCUCUUCAUCAAAUGCGAUUCAUGGAUAAUAAUCAAAGUUGGGAUCUACUUAAGCAGAAGGUGUUCAUGUCUGGCCAAGAUUGUCCUUCAGAAUUGGAAGACAUAGGGAAAAUGAUUGCACGAUGCUGUGGAGGACUGCCUCUAGCGGUUGUCCUUGUUGGAGGCAUCUUGUCUGCAGGUAAGAUGACUCAAGCUUCGUGGAAGGAAGUUGCACAAAAUAUUGCUUCAAUUGUUGAUGAGCAGUUAGAGAAGUUAUUAUCUUUGUGUUACAAACACUUGCCUCAACAUUUGAGGCCAUGCUUUCUAUUAAUUGGAGGCUUUUCAGAAGAUUACGAGAUUCAGGUGUCGAGGCUCAUCAAAUUAUGGGUAGCUGAGGGCUUUCUGAAAUGUGGAAAUAGAUAUAAAAGCUUUGAAGAUGAGGCAGAAGAGUAUUUGGAGGAUCUUGUUAGGAGAAAUCUUGUUUUGGUCGCUGAAAGGAAAGCCAGUGGGAAAAUCAAAAGAUGCAAGCUCCAUGAUCUGGUACGAGACUUGUGUGUAAGAAAAUCCAAUGAUGUUAAUGAGAAGUAUACUACAGCAUUCAUUAAAGAUUUCCGCUACAUCAAUCAUAUUGAUCAUUAUCCAAAAGAAACUUGGCUUCCAACCUUCCUUGCAAUGUUAAGCCAAAGGGUUGCAACUUCCCUACAGCCAGACUUAGUAGGGAACUUCAGAUUGCUGAGGAUAUUGGAUGUGAUAAAUGAUUCUGACAGAUUGCUGCCUUCUCAAGUGUUUGAGCUAUUUCAUUUGAGGUAUUUUGCUUUAGCAUAUUAUGUCAAGAUUCCUCCAUCCAUAUCAAACCUUGAGAAUCUUCAGACUUUAAUCAUUUGUCCUUGGAGAAAAUAUGGGAGGUACCCUGCACAUUUUUCAUCCUUGCCAUUGGAAAUUUGGAGUAUGCCACAGUUAAGGCAUCUUGUCUUCUCCUACUCUUAUAUUUUACCUGAUCCUAAAGACUGUUCAACUCCUCCUCUAGAAAACUUGCAAACACUUUCGGGUGUAUCAAGUCUUGUAUGUAGUAGAAGGGUCAUGAAACUUCUUCCAAAUCUCAAAAAGUUGGGAAUUAUUUACUCUAGGAAUGAAGAUUACAACGUCUACAAUCUUAUACAUCUGCAUCAGCUUGAAAAGUUGAAAAUAACUAGAUGCAGGGAUUCUUCUUGGCUAAGGAAAAAUCCUAUAUUUCCUUUGUCACUGAAAAAAUUAACCUUAUAUGGCGGGGAGUUUCCUUGGAAAGAUAUGGCAGUUGUUGGUGCUUUGCCUAAUCUUGAAGUGCUUAAGCUCAGAUUUUUAGUUUAUGAUGGUGACACAUGGGAAACGACUAAUGGAGGGUUUCUUCAGCUGAAAUUUUUGCUAAUUGAAGAAUCAAAUCUCCAGUAUUGGAUAACUGAAACCAACCACUUCCCUAGACUCAAGAGUCUAAGGCUUCAUUAUUGUUGGGAUCUGAGCCGGAUUCCAGAUGGUAUUGGAGAAAUUCCAACACUUGAACUGAUUGAGGUGGAUGAUGUGAACAAAUCUCUAGUGGAUUCGGCCAAACAAAUACUAGAGGAUCAGCUGGAAUACUACGGAAACAAUGCCCUCCAAGUUCAUUGCAUUCGUGUUUAGGAGGAGAAGGAAUCUGAGCUUUCUUGGUGGCUAUUCACCAGGCCUCUCCGCCUACCUUAAAAGACCACUUGUCCUGGAAAACAAAGAGACAAUCGAAAAAGAAAAAGCUGUUUAGAGCAAGCCAAAUCUGAUAGUUAUGAUCUGCAACAGCUGACAAUAACUAGAACCUGGAGUUCGUCCUAGAUAACUCACAAGUCCAUGGGUUCACUUCUUCAGAAGAAUGAACUCAGACUUGGAAAGGAAACUACAAUAUCAAUAUAUAUUCGUUAUUGAUUCUGGUGCAUGGUGCACUAACUGCUCUUCUGCUACCAAACACUCUGCAGGAGAAGUGGAGUAAGGAAUCUGAAAUUGAAGAGUUCAAUAUCGAUGUAGUUGAUGGGAUGAAAGAAAAAAGUGAAGAUUUUUUGAUGCAAUUGUUGAGAAAGCAAGAGUACAAGGAUAGAAGUUUUAAAACAUUAGGAUUUAUUUAUUCUUAUUUUGUUAGAGGGUAAUUCUAUUCAUAGCCCCCGUUUUACUCCCUAUAGCCCCCAGUCAAAAAUAAUGAAAAAUAUAUUAAUAAAUUUACUACUCUACCCUUAUAGCCCCAAAUUAAAAUUCUAUUAAAUCAAUCCCUACCAUCAUAACCUAUUAAAAUUAUAUUAAAUCAAAUUUCUGAAUCCUGAUGGUUACUGGAGUGCCACAAUCUCUGAGAAAAAGAAUUGGAGGAAGACGACGACAUACUGGAGAAUGUCGUUUGAUGGUGCUCGGAAACGACCUCCUCUACACAAAAUCAUCAACGCAGUCGCCAUCUUUGUCGACAUUGUUAAUUACAGUAGCCAUUGCCAACUUUCUCUUUACACUAUUGUCUGAAAUUUUGUGGGGUUCUUGGAUUGGGGCGGCGUAAUUGGGCUUGACGGAUUUGGCGAAAAGCGAUUUGAGGUAAGCUUUGAUUUUGCGAGCGAGAAUGGAGUGCUUGAGCCUGCCACUUGCCUUCGUUGUUGAAACGCACCACCGGGAACACCAUGCUCUGGUGCCGCUUGUCGCCGUCCGUCAUCGUCGGCCACUGCUGUCCACUGAUUCACUAAUUUGUAAUCCCUCUUCCCCUAGUUUCCUAUUUACCAGCAAUGACCCAAAAGGAAAUAAUAGGAGAAGAAAAUUCCAAUUUUCGUACUUCAAUUUUAAUUCAUUUUUCUCUUAUAAUGAAAAUUAUGACACGCUUUAGAAGUAGUUAAUUCUUACCUUACCCUACUGCAUGUUCUUGGGUGAGGCGAUUUUGAUGGUGGAGUGGUGGUUGAUGAAGGUGUUGAGAUUGUUGGAUCAUUAGAAGUAGAAGUUGUUGGGGGUGAGGUUGCAACAACUUCGGCAAAAUUUCGAUGGAGAAACAACAAUGAAAGUGGUAGCAGCGGCGGUGAAUGACGUGGGGGCUAUGGUGAUAGUAUUAUUUUAAUAAAUUUAAUUUGAGAUUAUGAGGAUAGAAUAGUAAAUUUAUUAAAUAUUUUUAUUAUUUUAUUAUAUAAGGGGCUAUGGUGAGUAAAAUUGAGGCUACGUUGAAUCACCCUUUGUUAGAUUAAUAAGAGUUUUAAGCCCAUUAAGGGCCGUGGGCCAUAAAACUUUGAUUAGAUUUAGAACUUUAAUUUAGCCAUAAAUGAGGGAAGAGGUGUGCAGUAGAGAUUAGGGCCUAGGGGCUUGGACGGCAUUGGGAGUGAGGCGGCCACAUUAAGAGGAAGUUUACUUUAUAUGAUUGAUAAAGAUAAAAUGGAUGAUUGAGUAUUUUUAUCUUUAAUAUUAGGAUUAUUCUAAUUUUAUUUUUUUAAUGAGAUAAAAAUCAAAUAAAACUAAUUUGGAGGAUAAAAAUAAUCAAGAACCUUAAAAUCUCCCAAAAUUGCGAUCCAUGAAAGUAAACAAGAGAUUAAUCUUACUAUUUUUAUCAAUCGAAACUUAUCCAUAAAAGUAAAUGCCCCUAAAAGCUUUGACUUUACUCGUCACUUAUGCAUUGAGACUCGGCGGCGGAAAUAAGGAGAUUGGCGGCUGGG